GCUUAACCGUACAAUAAUUUUAUGGUUUACACGGGAAAACUUACCCGGCCCGGACACUGGGAGGAUUGACAGAUUGAGAGCUCUUUCUUGAUUCGGUGAAUGGUGGUGCAUGGCCGUUCUUAGUUGGUGGAGCGAUUUGUCUGGUUAAUUCCGAUAACGAACGAGACUCUAGCCUAUUAAAUAGGUGCGUGGUUCUCUGCACCUUGCACCCUUCUUAGAGAAACAAGCGGCUCCUAGCCGCACGAAACAGAGCAAUAACAGGUCUGUGAUGCCCUUAGAUGUCCGGGGCCGCA
rfam:Ixodes scapularis strain Wikel colony gcontig_1108379080660, whole genome shotgun sequence.